GGCUAUUUCUGUAGUUAUAGAAAAGACCAACCUUCUCAUUCCUGCUUUCCAAGCCAGUUCGGGACCAGUAGGGAAAGCAUCAUGACCAUUAUGGUGCUUCGCUGUGUCUCUUUGGACACCAAAUUGCAGUUAGUGCCAAAGCUUCAGCGAUUGAACGCGUCACUGCAUAAAAAUUACACUUCUCACUUUCACUUCAGCCACCCACCCGCGUACUUUCCUCCAAAAAUUUACAAACUUUACCAACAGAAAAAACCGAAAAACAUCCAAAAAUAUUCCAUUGGUGAAGCUCAGAUGAGAUCAUCACCUCCGGCAAAUCCAUCUACAAUGUCAUCAUUAUCUUCUUCUUCCUCAAAGAAACAAGCCCUUUUCAUUACUUCCCUUAUCAUCCUCUGGUACUCCUCAAACAUUGGUGUUUUGCUUCUCAACAAGUACUUGCUCUCUAACUAUGGUUUCCGGUUCCCAAUCUUCCUCACCAUGUGCCACAUGUCUGCUUGUGCCAUUCUCAGUUAUCUAUCUAUUGUUUUCUUCAAGAUGGUUCCUCUUCAGCCUGUCAAAUCUAGGCAUCAGUUCUUCAAGAUUGCAACUUUGAGUGUUGUCUUUUGUGGGUCUGUUGUCGGUGGCAAUAUUUCGCUCAGGUAUUUGCCUGUUUCCUUUAAUCAGGCUGUCGGUGCUACGACUCCGUUUUUCACUGCGGUUUUUGCCUACUUGAUGACCUUCAAGAGGGAGGCUUGGGUUACAUAUGCUGCUCUUGUGCCUGUUGUUGCUGGUGUUGUCAUUGCUAGUGGGGGUGAGCCAGGUUUUCACUUGUAUGGAUUUAUUAUGUGCAUAAGUGCAACUGCUGCAAGGGCCUUUAAGUCUGUUCUUCAGGGCAUCCUGCUUUCUUCUGAGGGAGAAAAGUUGAACUCGAUGAAUUUGCUGCUGUAUAUGUCCCCUAUUGCAGUUUUAGUAUUGUUGCCUGCAGCACUUGUAAUGGAGCCCAAUGUGCUAGAAGUCACCUUAUCCCUGGGAAGGCAACAUAAGUAUAUGUGGGUACUGCUGGUUCUUAAUUCAACAAUGGCCUACUCAGCUAACUUGUCAAACUUCUUGGUCACUAAGCAUACAAGUGCACUAACACUCCAGGUUUUAGGCAAUGCAAAAGGUGCUGUGGCUGUUGUUAUCUCAAUCUUCAUCUUCAGGAAUCCUGUAACGUUCGUGGGCAUUGCCGGUUACACGAUGACUGUUGCUGGCGUCGUCGCUUAUGGAGAAGCAAAGAGAAGGUUUAGAUGAAUGGGUUUCUAGAUGUUUCAUUUUGUAUAUUUGUUUUUGUUUCCAGAGGUUAGUGGACUUAUGUGAGCCAGAUUAUCAUAUUUUUAAUUUUGGAGGAGAGAGAAUUGCAUUAUCAUGUUGUAUUUACUAUACAUGAGGCGUAUGCUUCAGUAUAUUCAAUUCUAUUCUGAUUCAGUGAUUUGAUGGAGAAGGGUGUUUUUAGGAUCUCCAUUGUAUUCUCCCCCAGUGUUGUAUGACAAGGAAGAACUUGACACUUAUCUGACAUUGGUGAAAAUUAUUUGCCUCUAAAGCAGAGUAAGGAAAACACGACGUUGUUGUAUUUGCAUCUAAAGCAGAGCAAGGAAAACACGUCGUUGUUGUUGUUGUUG
rnacentral:misc_RNA from 1 species